GUGGGGAAUAUUGCGCAAUGGCCGAAAGGCUGACGCAGCGACGCCGCGUGGGGGAUGAAGCAUUUCGGUGUGUAAACCCCUGUUGCUCGAGACGAACAAGCCUUUUCGAGGGCUCUGACGGUACCGAGUGAGGAAGCACCGGCUAACUCCGUGCCAGCAGCCGCGGUAAUACGGAGGGUGCGAGCGUUGUCCGGAAUCACUGGGCGUAAAGGGCGCGUAGGCGGUCUGCUAAGCGUGUGGUGAAAGCUCGGGGCUCAACCCCGAGUCGGCCAUGCGAACUGGUGGACUAGAGCACUGUAGAGGCAGGUGGAAUUCCGGGUGUAGCGGUGGAAUGCGUAGAGAUCCGGAAGAACACCGGUGGCGAAGGCGGCCUGCUGGGCAGUAGCUGACGCUGAGGCGCGACAGCGUGGGGAGCAAACAGGAUUAGAUACCCGUGUAGUCC
rnacentral:rRNA from 1 species